GUGCUCGAUUCCGCAGCACAUAUACUAAAAUCGGAAUGAUACAGAGAAGAUUAGCAUGGACCCUGCGCAAGGAUGACACGCAAAUUCAUGAAGCGUUCCAUAUUAAA
ensembl:snRNA U6 U6 spliceosomal RNA